CGUAAUACCCCUGUAGGGUAAAAUGACCAUAAUAUCCCUGUAUAGUAGAAUGACGAUUAUGGCCUUAUGAUCCUUAUGAUUGAUGUGCUUAUGAUUUACAUAUAUGACUGUACUAAUUAUGACUUUGCAUACACGUAUUAUUUAUGACAUGACAUACUGCAUGGGGUUGGGUUAUUAUUGACAGAGGAAGUGUACGGCCUAUAGCCAUUCUGUGCAAGGCUUUCAGCCUUUCUAUGAUACUUAUAGCUUAUAGCCGUUCUAUUAACUGGUAGCAUUGCUGUGAUAUUUAUGGCCUUUAAUCGUUCUAUCUAC
rnacentral:lncRNA from 1 species